GCUUGAGCAAACAAUGCAGCGAUCUUUGGACCUGGAUGGUGAGACGGGGCAGGAGUGGAGGGCCAGUAAAACAACAGUACAGGUGAAUGGCUCCAGCCAAUCGGGGCCAACAUUAUAGUUUCGAUCUGAGCAGCCAGGUGCAAGAAAUGCCAGGCAUCUGUUGCUCUCUUGAAGCAUAAACAUUUUUAACGACUUACCAAAAGUAAGUUAUGACAGCUCUGAAAAUUGUGACUUCAUGACUGAUGUGCACAUCCAGGUGCUUUCAGAAAUGGAAUUUAAUACCUGGGCUCGAACACAAAGAGACGCUGUGUCGUCCAGGAGACCUCAACUUGAACUGCUUGCUAAAUUAGUUAUUGUGUGUGUGUGUGUGUGUGAGUGCCUGCAGGCACACAGAAAUAAACUUCUACCUGCAUGUAUGCACAGAUGUGCAUGCACAAAGACACAGGCACAUUAUGUUUUCACAGUGGUAACAGACCUAAUCGCCUUUGGGAAGAUGCAACUCAGACAUCAACAGGAAACACUAAUGCAUGUCAUGUGGAUCAAUUUUCAGACAAUCAAAGUGAGGGAAAAAAUGCUUCAAGAGCAUUCCAAAAGAACGUAUUGCAUUUCAUAACAUAGUGGUGUGAAAUUCCUCUUCCUGUUAAACAAGAGUUACCAGUAGGAAAAAUCAUAUUGGCAUUUCUGAUUUAAUUUAGGAAGUCUGGUGCAAUAAUUCUGCAAGAUUGUGUUAUGAUUUGUACUAAUUAAAGCAUGCAAUAAAAAAUGAUAUGUAUA